rnacentral:rRNA from 1 species
CGUUUUUCUUCAUCCUGCACUGAAUACGCUUGUUUCAUGUCAAUUUGCUGUAAUUUUCUUUGGGCCCAAGCAAUACCCUCAUCGCCACCCCAUAGUAUAUAGAUGGUGCAUGCUGUUUAUAUUAAAGUUGAGGCGCUGUAAGAUGGGCGUGCGUGCUAUUAGCUAGUUGGUGAGGUAACGGCUCACCAAGGCUACGAUAGCUAGGGGGCGUGAGAGCGUGGCCCCCCACACGGGUACUGAGACACGGACCCGACUCCUACGGGAGGCAGCAGUAAGGAAUAUUGGACAAUGGUCGAAAGACUGAUCCAGCCAUCCCGCGUGCAGGAUGACUGCCCUAUGGGUUGUAAACUGCUUUUAUAUGGGAAGAAUAGCAUGGAUUCAUCUGUGUAUGACGGUACCAUAUGAAUAAGCACCGGCUAACUCCGUGCCAGCAGCCGCGGUAAUACGGAGGGUGCAAGCGUUAUCCGGAAUCACUGGGUUUAAAGGGUGCGUAGGUGGCCCGAUAAGUCAGAGGUGAAAGCCCGUCGCUUAACGAUGGAAUUGCCUUUGAUACUGUUGGGCUUGAAAUAGGUUGAGGUAGGCGGAAUGUGACAUGUAGCGGUGAAAUGCAUAGAUAUGUCAUAGAACACCGAUUGCGAAGGCAGCUUACUGGACCUUAUUUGACGCUGAGGCACGAAAGCGUGGGGAUCAAACAGGAUUAGAUACCCUGGUAGUCCACGCCCUAAACGAUGUCAAUUAGUUGUUGGUUCUUCAUUGAAUCAGUAACCAAGCUAUAGAUCUAUUUGUUAUUCUCCAUAGAACAUCUUCGCUAAAAUUGUCUGCUCCUCUAAGUUGAAUAUGCACAAACUUUGUAUUUUUAUUGCGAGUAUCAUUUAUUUUUUUGUUUUGAUUUUCAUCUAAAAUAUAAUGUAUAUAACUGUUCCAUCCAUUUUCCAUUUCUUGAUAAUUUAAUUCGCAAACUUUUAACAUAGCAUGCAA